AUGGGCUGCUCUCAUGACAUGUACUGGAAGUUAUUUCCGGAUUUCAAAGAGAACAUCCAGUACUCAGGGGGCAAAGACCUUGGCCAGUCAUCUGAGAUAUCACCUUACUGGCAAGACUACAUGGCACUUAGACCACACUGCUUAAUGGACUCCUGUGAGAGGAAAGGGGUUGGCUCAUCAAGCAAGAUGGUCUCUCUGAAUCAGAUCUGCUUGGUGCAAGUGCGAAAGAGACCACAGAUGGAAGCUCACAGAUGGAAGCCUGCUGAUCAUACAGCUGUUUCUUUGUUGCUACAUGUUCCUGAGAGGUCUCCCCAGCUAAUUCCACGUAUAGAAGGAAGACAGAUAAAGUGGCCCUGGAUUAUUUCUGUCAGUUGGCUGAUGAGUGAAAGAUGUAAAAAAAUACUCUCCAAUUAA
rnacentral:lncRNA from 1 species